AACGAACGCUGGCGGCAUGCCUAACACAUGCAAGUCGAACGAGACCUUCGGGUCUAGUGGCGCACGGGUGCGUAACGCGUGGGAACCUGCCCUUAGGUUCGGAAUAACUCCCCGAAAGGGGUGCUAAUAACGGAUAAUGUCUUCGGACCAAAGAUGUAUCGCGUUUGGAUGGGGGCGCGUUGGAUUAGCCAGUUGGUAGUGUAAGAGCCUACCAAGGCGACGAUCCAUAGCUGGUCUGAGAGGAUGAUCAGCCACACUGGGGCUGGGACACGGCCCAGACUCCUACGCGAGGGAGCAGUGGGGAAUAUUGGACAGUGGGCGAAAGCCUGAUCCAGCAAUGCCGCGUGAGUGAUGAAGGCCUUAGGGUUGUAAUGCUCUUUUACCCGGGAUGAUAAUGACAGUACCGGGAGAAUAAGCUCCGGCUAACUCCGUG
rnacentral:rRNA from 1 species